rnacentral:rRNA from 1 species
UACGUAGGGUGCAAGCGUUGUCCGGAAUUAUUGGGCGUAAAGAGCUCGUAGGCGGUUUGUUGCGUCGGCUGUGAAAUCCCGAGGCUCAACCUCGGGUCUGCAGUCGAUACGAGCAAACUAGAGUGUUGCAGGGGAGACUGGAAUUCCUGGUGUAGCGGUGAAAUGCGCAGAUAUCAGGAGGAACACCGGUGGCGAAGGCGGUGGUCUGGGCCGGAACUGACGCUCAUGCACGAAAGCGUGGGGAGCAAACAGG